CAUACUGCAGUCGAGCGAAUCACUUCGGUGGUUAGCGGCGGACGGGUGAGUAACACGUGGGCAACCUGCCUGUAAGACUGGGAUAACACCGGGAAACCGGUGCUAAUACCGGAUAAUCCUUUUCCUCUCAUGAGGAAAAGCUGAAAGUCGGUUUCGGCUGACACUUACAGAUGGGCCCGCGGCGCAUUAGCUAGUUGGUGAGGUAACGGCUCACCAAGGCGACGAUGCGUAGCCGACCUGAGAGGGUGAUCGGCCACACUGGGACUGAGACACGGCCCAGACUCCUACGGGAGGCAGCAGUAGGGAAUCUUCCACAAUGGACGAAAGUCUGAUGGAGCAACGCCGCGUGAGCGAUGAAGGCCUUCGGGUCGUAAAGCUCUGUUGUUAGGGAAGAACAAGUACCGGAGUAACUGCCGGUACCUUGACGGUACCUAACCAGAAAGCCACGGCUAACUACGUGCCAGCAGCCGCGGUAAUACGUAGGUGGCAAGCGUUGUCCGGAAUUAUUGGGCGUAAAGCGCGCGCAGGCGGUCCUUUAAGUCUGAUGUGAAAGCCCACGGCUCAACCGUGGAGGGUCAUUGGAAACUGGGGGACUUGAGUGCAGAAGAGGAAAGCGGAAUUCCACGUGUAGCGGUGAAAUGCGUAGAGAUGUGGAGGAACACCAGUGGCGAAGGCGGCUUUCUGGUCUGUAACUGACGCUGAGGCGCGAAAGCGUGGGGAGCAAACAGGAUUAGAUACCCUGGUAGUCCACGCCGUAAACGAUGAGUGCUAAGUGUUAGGGGGUUUCCGCCCCUUAGUGCUGCAGCUAACGCAUUAAGCACUCCGCCUGGGGAGUAGCGCAAGGCUGAAACUCAAAGGAAUUGACGGGGGCCCGCACAAGCGGUGGAGCAUGUGGUUUAAUUCGAGCAACGCGAAGAACCUUACCAGGCUUGACUCCUCUGACACUCCUAAGAUAGGACGUUCCCCUUC
rnacentral:rRNA from 1 species